rnacentral:lncRNA from 1 species
UGCCCUAAUUAGCAAUGAAUGAUUGUCUUUCAUUUCUAAUGGCUCAAUGAAAAUGUUUUAAUUGGAUUGAAAAACACGUAAUUAAAUUGACACAACCUCCCCGAGUUUAUAUUCAACAAUGUUGGCUCAUUGUUGCAAUAACCUAAUAAGUCCAUGGUCAUCCAAGAGCCUAAGAUAACUAUAAAGUCCAAUUUCAAAGGAAUGCAAAAACCUUAGUAGUAGUAGUUACUUCCAAUAUUUGAAAAAUUAGUUUUUGAUAUUGAUUUGUUUUUCUUAAAACAAAUAGUGGGAGUAUCAUACGCUACUAAACUAUAAUGAAUACAAUUAGUAGUUAUAUAUAUCUCCAAUAUUUUGAAAAAUGUUUUGAUAUUGAUUUGUUUUAUGAAAAUGAAUAGUGGGGAUAUCAUAUGCUACUAAUUUCAUUUAACUUUGGACUAGUAGUUGUAAUAGGACAUUAUUUAUUUGAAUAUGAUUAAAUAAAUAAAAUUGAUGAGACCUUAAAAUCCCUCAACCAACAUACAAUAUUAAGUUGAAAGCGUAAGAGUGCUUUGAACACUUUUUUGUGGCCUUCCACCGUGGUAGGCUCCAAUCGUUUAUGACUUGUACAUCGCCUUCACCCUAUCAUGGGGGAGUGCAAAGUGCAUGCUUAUACUCAGGAGGAGUUUAUUUAAAACAUUUGAUGAGGUUAAGGUAGGCAACGAGUGUGGCCAACAUCGUAUCAUCAUGAGGUCAUGCUUGAACCCCUAUCUAAACCGGCAUGGUGGGAAAGAACUUAACUAAGAGAAAUGAUGCCAAUAUCGUAUCAUCGUGAGACAUUGCUCUCUAGAGGCCAAAAAGAUGGGUAAUCACAAGAGGUUGUUGUGAAUGGGUAAUUGUACCCUCUCAUUAUUAUUU